CAACAAAUUACCAUAAAUAACCCCAAACACACUAGUGUUAUAUUAAAUAAAUCAUUCUUCCCCCUUAGUACGGGCGACAGAAAAGGGACUACGGCGCAAUAGAAAAAGUACCGCAAGGGAACGCUGAAAGAGAAAUGAAAGAACCCAGUAAAGCCUUAAAAAGCAGAGAUUUUUACUUGUACCUUUUGCAUCAUGAUUUAGCUAGAAAUGCCCAGGCAAAGAGAACUUUAGUCUGGUUUCCCGAAACUAAGUGAGCUACUCCAAGACAGCCUAUUAAUAGGGCACACCCGUCUCUGUGGCAAAAGAGUGGGAGGAGCUUUGAGUAGAGGUGACAGACCUACCGAACUUAGUUAUAGCUGGUUGCCUGAGAAUUGGAUAGGAGUUCAGCCUCCCGGCUUCUUUUCUCACCCUUGUCCUAACACCCUAUAGACACCCAAAGAAUACCGCGAGAGUUAGUCAAAGGGGGUACAGCCCCUUUGAAAUAAGACACAACUUUUCCAGGAGGGUAAAGAUCAUAAUAAACUAAAGUAAAAUGUUCUGGUGGGCCUAAAAGCAGCCACCCCCCUAGAAAGCGUUAAAGCUCAGACAUACCACUUACCUUCUUAUUCUGAUAACUUAUCUUAACCCCCUAACCUUAUCAGGCCGCCCCAUGCUUUCAUGGGGGUGACCAUGCUAAUAUGAGUAAUAAGAGAGCCUCGACUCUCUCCCCGCACACGUGUAAAUCGGAACGGACAAGCCACCGAACCUUAACGGCCCCAAACAAAGAGGGUAAUGAACAAUAGACUAAACAACUAGAAAAACAUUCAAACUUUAACCGUUAACCCCACACUGGAGUGCCCCCCCGGGAAAGACUAAAAGAAAAAGAAGGAACUCGGCAAACACAUAAAGCCUCGCCUGUUUACCAAAAACAUCGCCUCUUGCUGAAAUUAAAGAAUAAGAGGUCCCGCCUGCCCUGUGACUAUAAGUUUAACGGCCGCGGUAUUUUGACCGUGCGAAGGUAGCGCAAUCACUUGUCUUUUAAAUGAAGACCUGUAUGAAUGGCAUAACGAGGGCUUAGCUGUCUCCUUUUUCCGGUCAAUGAAAUUGAUCUCCCCGUGCAGAAGCGGGGAUGAGACCAUAAGACGAGAAGACCCUAUGGAGCUUUAGACACCAAGGUAAGCCAUGUUAAAUACCCCAAAAUAAAGGGCUAAACCAAAUGAAAUUUACCCCCAUGUCUUUGGUUGGGGCGACCGCGGGGAAAUACAAAACCCCCACGUGGAAUGAGAAUACUCUUUCCUACAACUAAGAGCCCCCGCUCUAGUUAACAGAAUUUCUGACCAGCAAGAUCCGGCAACGCCGAUCAACGGACCGAGUUACCCUAGGGAUAACAGCGCAAUCCCCUUUUAGAGCCCAUAUCGACAAGGGGGUUUACGACCUCGAUGUUGGAUCAGGACAUCCUAAUGGUGCAGCCGCUAUUAAGGGUUCGUUUGUUCAACGAUUAAAGUCCUACGUGAUCUGAGUUCAGACCGGAGUAAUCCAGGUCAGUUUCUAUCUAUGCUAUGAUCUUUUCUAGUACGAAAGGACCGAAAAGGAGAGGCCCAUGCUUCAAGUAUGCCUCACCCCCACCUAAUGAAAACAACUAAAAUAGGCAAAAGGGCAUGUCCCCUUUUGCCUAAGACUACGGCAA
rnacentral:rRNA from 1 species